GCGCUCUCUUCGGCAGCACGUACGGUAAAAUUAGAGAGAUACAGAGAUUAGCAUGGCCACUAUGUAAGAAUAACGUGCAAAUUCAAACAAAGCGUUUCAUAGUUUU